GCCUGGCUGACUCAGUUGGUAGAGCAUGUGACUCUUGAUCUCAGGGCUGUGAGUUCAAGCCCCACAUUGGGUG
rnacentral:tRNA from 1 species